CCUACGGGGUGCUGCAGUGAGGAAUAUUGGUCAAUGGGCGGGAGCCUGAACCAGCAAAGUCGCGUGAGGGAAGAAGGUACUGAGUAUUGUAAACCUCUUUUGCCAGGGGACAAAGGCGGCCACGGGUGGCAGUAAGAGGUUACCUGGAGAAAAAGCAUCGGCUAACUCCGUGCCAGCAGCCGCGGUAAUACGGAGGAUGCGAGCGGUAUCCGGAUGUAUUGGGUUAAAAGGGUGUGCAUGCGGCGUGUCAAGACAGCGGUAAAAUGUCGGGGCUAAACCCCGGCCGGCCGUUGAACCUGGCGUGCUCGAGUGGGAGAGAAGUAUGCGGAAUUCGUGGUGUAGCGGUGAAAUGCAUAGAUAUCACGAAGAACCCCGAUGGCGAAGGCAGCAUACCGGCUCCACACUGACGCUGAGGCACGAAAGCGUGGGUAUCGAACAGGAUUAGAUACCCGAGUAGUC
rnacentral:rRNA from 1 species